UAAGUCAACACAAAGCAGUGCGGCACAGAGACUACAAUGCCGGACAGACUUUGGGAGGCGGGUGGCCCGUGAAGCAGAGAUCAUUUGAUUAAGGUUUUGAAGCUUAAGGAGAAGUUUUCUAGGCUGGCCAUUCAUUCCCUCCAAGUGUUUGGAAGCUGAGGUUGUCAACAUUUCCAAAUGAGAGGUUGCCUGACCCAUGUUGCUGCAGAUUGUUGGAGAAAAAGUUGAAGUAGAUAACUCCAAGGCUGAAUUUGGAUGUGGCUCUGCAGAAAAUAGACAGGCAGAGAGAAGAGAGGCCCAGAUGCUGAGACAGACCAGCCCAGGUUCCUGCACCCAGAGCAAGACCAGGAAAGUCCAGCCUGUCUCAAGCACCUGCCCUGCUCUGCCCUAGAGAUGGACAAAGCCAUGGACCCCCGCAAGCUUACAUCUGCUUCCUGGGAGGAGUUGGGCCGCCAUGGGUGACCUUUGGCAUCUCUGCAUGAGGGGAGUUGCAGAGCCCACAAGCCCAAGUUCACUCUACUUUAGCUGCCUGAGGUCUCAGUAUCUCUCAUCUGCAAUCAAAGCCACCCUUUCUAGGGCUUGCUGACAACCCUGCAAACCCACCAUGUGCACCAUUUGCACCUUUCUGAAAGAAACAUGAACAAUGGUAACCUCUGCCCUGAACACUGCACCUAUUCAGUGUUCAAGCCAACUCCACAAAGGAGGAGCUAUUAUUCCUAUUAGAAACCAAUCAGGUCAGGAAACUUGCUCAAGUUCAUGCAGCAGUUAAAUGCCUGUGUCAGGAUUAGAACCCCACCUGUCUGCUUCCAAAGCCUGAACAGGCCACCCUGCCUCUUGGACCCCUGCUGCUUCCCAGAUUAAAUUAUUCAACGCUUCCUACUGCCUCUUGGAUACAGCCUCAACUCCCUGGUCUGGCUUUCUAGGCCUGUCCUAGCCUGACCUUAACCAACCCGGGAAAGACCUUACACAUACACAGUGCUCCCACCUAGGGCAGCAGGCCCCUGUGGGCCGUCCAGAGCCAUCAUCUUCUCGUACCACACACAUACCCUUUCACCUUUGCAAAUGCAGUUCCCUCAGCCUGGAGUAUACUUUAUGAUGGAGAAAGUUUCUAGGGGAUGGGGCCCAGGGCUUUGAGUCAGUCUGACCUGGGUCUGAAUCCCAUCACUGCCCCGGGUCCAAAUGCACGGCUUCGGACAAGCCAAAAGUUCCUCUCUGUGGACACUGAUUUACCCAACCACACAACUGGGAACUCACUGAAAAGGGACAUGGGCUGUCACAGGCACUCACUGGGAAUUCAGUGGAUGUUCUCAGCUGAGCCCACCCUGGUCACCCUCCAUCCCACCUGU